GACGAACGCUGGCGGCUUGCUUAACACAUGCAAGUCGAACGGAAAGGCCCUGCUUUUGUGGGGUGCUCGAGUGGCGAACGGGUGAGUAACACGUGAGUAACCUGCCCUUGACUUUGGGAUAACUUCAGGAAACUGGGGCUAAUACCGGAUAGGAGCUCCUGCUGCAUGGUGGGGGUUGGAAAGUUUCGGCGGUUGGGGAUGGACUCGCGGCUUAUCAGCUUGUUGGUGGGGUAGUGGCUUACCAAGGCUUUGACGGGUAGCCGGCCUGAGAGGGUGACCGGACACAUUGGGACGGAGAUACGGCCCAGACUCCUACGGGAGGCAGCAGUGGGGAAUAUUGCACAAUGGGCGGAAGCCUGAUGCAGCAACGCCGCGUGCGGGAUGACGGCCUUCGGGUUGUAAACCGCUUUCGCCUGUGACGAAGCGUGAGUGACGGUAAUGGGUAAAGAAGCACCGGAUAGCUACGUG
rnacentral:rRNA from 1 species